rnacentral:snRNA from 1 species
GUGCACUUCUGUAGCAUAUAUGCCAAAAAUUAGAAUGAUAUAGAGAUGAUUAGCACAGCCCCUGUGCAAGGAUGACAUGCAAAUUCACGAAGUGUUCCAUUUUUUA